rnacentral:lncRNA from 1 species
AUGUCCUCAAAUGUGUCUUUACAGGUGUCUUUGCAGGUAUCUUUACAGGUGUCCUCACAGGUAUCUUCACAGGUGUCUUUACAGAUGUCUUCACAGGUGUCUUUACAGGUGUCUUUACAGGUGUCUUUACAGAGGUCUUCACAAAUGUCCUCAAAUGUGUCUUUACAGGUGUCUUUGCAGGUAUCUUUACAGGUGUCCUCACAGGUAUCUUCACAGGUGUCUUUACAGAUGUCUUCACAGGUGUCUUUACAGGUGUCUUUACAGGUGUCUUUACAGAGGUCUUCACAAAUGUCCUCAAAUGUGUCUUUACAGGUGUCUUUGCAGGUAUCUUUACAGGUGUCCUCACAGGUAUCUUUACAGGUGUCUUUGCAGGUGUCUUUACAGAUGUCUUCACAGGUGUCUUUACAGGUGUCUUCACAGGUGUCUUUACAGGUGUCUUUGCAGGUAUCUUUACAGGUGUCCUCACAGGUAUCUUCACAGGUGUCUUUACAGAGGUCUUCACAGGUGUCUUUACAGGUGUCUUUACAGAGGUCUUCACAAAUGUCCUCAAAUGUGUCUUCACAGGUGUCUUUACAGGUGUCUUCACAGGUGUCUUCACAGGUGUCUUUGCAGGUAUCUUUACAGGUGUCCUCACAGGUAUCUUCACAGGUGUCUUUACAGAGGUCUUCACAGGUGUCUUUACAGGUGUCUUUACAGGUGUCUUUACAGAGGUCUUCACAAAUGUCCUCAAAUGUGUCUUUACAGGUGUCCUCACAGGUAUCUUUACAGGUGUCUUUACAGGUGUCUUUACAGAUGUCUUCACAGGUGUCUUUACAGGUGUCUUCACAGGUGUCUUCACAGGUGUCUUUACAGAGGUCUUCACAGGUGUCUUUACAGGUGUCUUUACAGGUGUCUUUGCAGGUAUCUUUACAGGUGUCCUCACAGGUAUCUUCACAGGUGUCUUUACAGAUGUCUUCACAGGUGUCUUUACAGGUGUCUUUACAGAUGUCUUCACAGGUGUCUUUACAGGUGUCUUCACAGGUGUCUUUACAGGUGUCUUUGCAGGUAUCUUUACAGGUGUCCUCACAGGUGUCUUCACAGGUGUCUUUACAGAGG